UGGUAGUUAUCAGUCUACUAGUGUCUCCUUGUAGUUUUGUUUUGGAUUUUGCUAGCAAGUUUUUGUUUUCCUUUUUUGAUUAUUAAAUACUUUUAGUUUAUUCUGCACUUGGGUCCACCUCUCCUUGUUUUCCAACCAUUCAUGACAAUUUGUAUCUUGUUGUCAGAGCAUCUAGGAGGGAUGUUACAGCAACUACAACAACUACCAAUCUAGUUGAAGGCUCUUUCCUCUUGGAUGGAGUUUGUUCUUUUUUCACAUUCAAUUUCACCACUGUGUUCUCUCCAUAUUGAUCUCUACUGAGUUGCUGAUUGUUUGACCCCUACCGGCCACCGUACACAUGUGAGUCACAGAGUUGAUCAGGUUAAUUAAAUAUAUAAUAUCUAAAAUUACACAUCAUGAUUUUUAGAAUAAUUGAUUUUUUUUAAUCAACAAAGUAACAAGUGAAACUGAAGAAAAAACAUUGAGGAAUAAAUGGAACAGAAUUAGAAUCUGAAAUGUAAUUGUGUUAAAGUAUAAAGUAACAAAAUAGUACCAAUUAAAAAGUUAAUUUAAAAAUAAUCUUUAGUUAGGCUAAAUGUAUGUUUCCUUCAUGCAAGCAUUACUGUGUGCCUGAAGGGAAACUAACCCUACCUUACAUGCAACCUAUUUUCCACAAAUUACUUCACUACUUCAUGAGCUCAGAUUUCCUGAUCAUGUAACAUUAGCACACCUGACUGUGACAAUUUGACGCUUGGUGUGAACUAGGGCUGUCAGCAGAAGUGAAUUGUUUUAGAUUAAUUGAGGUCCCAAAUUAAUGCAAUCUUGUCAUUUGAAUCGCCAUUAAUCUCAUGAUAUUUUGUCCCUUUGGUCACACUGUGGAUAAGCCUCCGUCGCGUCUCUCUGUAGGCACAGUGAUGGAAAGAACAACACAGCUGCGUCUUUGAAUGUGUCAUUUCAAUUGUAGACAGCUCAGUUUAAAAGUCAAAUGUAAUAUCCACCGUUUGACAUCAACAUUUCACUAUUCUUGCUGUUCAUUUUAGCUGUUAUAUUUGGUUUUUGACCUGUAACGAGUUGGCUUUUUCUGAUCCACAAGGUGAUCCUUACUUUAUACCAAAAUAAAAGCAGGGUCGAAUUCAAACAGCAAGUACUCUCAACUUAAGACAGUACAAACAUUUAAAAUAAAUAAAACUUCUGUUAAUAAUCUGUGACUAACUUCAGUGUCUUCAAGAAGGAUUCAUGAUAAACUUAACAGAGUCUGUUUCCCCUUUUUGUUGU